rnacentral:rRNA from 1 species
UGGGGAAUAUUGGACAAGGGGCGCAAGCCUGAUCCAGCCAUGCCGCGUGAGUGAUGAAGGCCCUAGGGUUGUAAAGCUCUUUCACCGGUGAAGAUAAUGACGGUAACCGGAGAAGAAGCCCCGGCUAACUUCGUGCCAGCAGCCGCGGUAAUACGAGGGGGGCUAGCGUUGUUCGGAUUUACUGGGCGUAAAGCGCACGUAGGCGGACUUUUAAGUCAGGGGUGAAAUCCCGGGGCUCAACCCCGGAACUGCCUUUGAUACUGGAAGGCUUGAGUAUGGUAGAGGUGAGUGGAAUUCCGAGUGUAGAGGUGAAAUUCGUAGAUAUUCGGAGGAACAACAGUGGCGAAGGCGGCUCCCUGGACCAUUACUGACGCUGAGGUGCGAAAGCGUGGGGAGCAAACAGG